CCAAUAGCGUAUAUUAAAGUUGUUGCAGUUAAAAAGCUCGUAGUUGAAUUUCGGGGUCAGCAGGUUGGUCGUGCCAAUGGUAUGCACUGGCCUUGCUGAUUCCUCCCUCUUGAUGAGCCGUAAUGUCAUUAAUUUGGUGUUGCGGGGAAUCAGGACUGUUACUUUGAAAAAAUUAGAGUGUUUAAAGCAGGCAAGCGCUUGAAUACAUUAGCAUGGAAUAAUGAAAUAGGACGUUUAAUCCUAUUUUGUUGGUUUCUAGGAUUGACGUAAUGAUUAAUAGGGAUAGUUGGGGGCAUUAGUAUUCAAUUGUCAGAGGUGAAAUUCUUGGAUUUAUUGAAGACUAACUACUGCGAAAGCAUUUGCCAAGGAUGUUUUCAUUAAUCAAGAACGAAAGUUAGGGGAUCGAAGACGAUCAGAUACCGUCGUAGUCUUAACCAUAAACUAUGCCGACUAGGGAUCGGAUGAUGUUAAUUUUUUAAUGACUCAUUCGGCGCCUUACG
rnacentral:rRNA from 1 species